UGACCUCGGAUCAGGUAGGGAUACCCGCUGAACUUAAGCAUAUCAAUAAGCGGAGGAAAAGAAACCAACAGGGAUUACCUCAGUAACGGCGAGUGAAGCGGUAAGAGCUCAAAUUUGAAAGCUGGCUCCUUCGGGGUCCGCAUUGUAAUUUGCAGAGGAUGUUUCGGAAGCAGCCCCCAUCUAAGUACCCUGGAACGGGUCGUCAUAGAGGGUGAGAAUCCCGUAUGGGAUGGGGUGUCUGCGUCCAUGUGAAACUCCUUCGACGAGUCGAGUUGUUUGGGAAUGCAGCUCUAAAUGGGUGGUAAAUUUCAUCUAAAGCUAAAUAUUGGCCGGAGACCGAUAGCGCACAAGUAGAGUGAUCGAAAGAUGAAAAGCACUUUGAAAAGAGAGUUAAAAAGCACGUGAAAUUGUUGAAAGGGAAGCGCUUGCGACCAGACUCGCCUCGGGGGUUCAACCGGCAUUCGUGCCGGUGUACUUCCCCCGGGGCGGGCCAGCGUCGGUUUGGGCGGUCGGUCAAAGGCCCUCGGAAUGUAACGCCUCUCGGGGCGUCUUAUAGCCGAGGGUGCCAUGCGACCUGCCCGGACCGAGGAACGCGCUUCGGCUCGGACGCUGGCAUAAUGGUCGUAAGCGACC
rnacentral:rRNA from 1 species